rnacentral:rRNA from 1 species
AGUGAACGCUGGCGGCAGGCCUAACACAUGCAAGUCGAACGGCAGCACGGCAGUAGCAAUACUGUGGGUGGCGAGUGGCGGACGGGUGAGGAAUACAUGGGAAUCUACCCUGUCGUGGGGGAUAACGUAGGGAAACUUACGCUAAUACCGCAUACGACCGAGAGGUGAAAGCGGCGGACCGCAAGGCGUCGCGCGAUUGGAUGAGCCCAUGUCGGAUUAGCUAGUUGGCGGGGUAAAGGCCCACCAAGGCGACGAUCCGUAGCUGGUCUGAGAGGAUGAUCAGCCACACUAGAACUGAGACACGGUCCAGACUCCUACGGGAGGCAGCAGUGGGGAAUAUUGGACAAUGGGCGCAAGCCUGAUCCAGCCAUGCCGCGUGAGUGAAGAAGGCCUUCGGGUUGUAAAGCUCUUUUGUCCGGAAAGAAAAGCUCUCGGUUAAUACCCGGGGGUGAUGACGGUACCGGAAGAAUAAGCACCGGCUAACUUCGUGCCAGCCGCCGCGGUAA